UGUUUGGCCAUGUGGGUGUGUCUGACCAUGUGGGUGUGUCUGACCAUGUGGGUGUGUCUGUCCAUGUGGGUGUGUCUGCCCAUGUGGGUGUGUCUGUUGAUAGCCAGUCUGUAGCCACAGCUCAGGAGAAACUAGUCAGAACUCAGAACUAAUUACUGGGUAUCCCGUGUCACCAACCACCAUUUUGUGAAAGCACAUUGGGUUAAGGACUGAGUUGGACACAGUCAUUCAUGCUAGAAUCUAGAUUAUGGAUUUCCAGGACUGACAUUUUUUUCUGAGUGAACUAUCUAGCUAAAUACAGAUAGCCCAAGUGUCCUUAACAGAUAGCUAGAGUACUGUUAGUGUAUUCUAGUAUUAUUGUCAUCACUAUACUGUAUGUUCAGAGAAACCAUUCUGAUUACAGUACUUGUAAUGAACACGAUGGGAGACAGAGAGCUGGUUUCAAGCGCAGUGCGCAGCUGGUGUUUAUUAGCAAAGGAGGAGACUGGUAGCUGGGUCCAGGGGCAGGCAGAAGGUCAUACACAGGAGGAGGCAGGUAGCUGGGUCCAGGGGCAGGCAGAAGGUCAUAUACAGGAGGAGACAGGAAGCUGGGUCCAGGGGCAGAAGGUCAUACACAGGAGGAGACAGGUAGCUGGGUCCAGCAGUCUCCUCUGCACUGUGUUGAUACCUGAUGUCUGUUGAGUCAUGAUAUCCCAGCAGUCUCCUCUGCACUGUGUUGAUACCUGAUGUCUGUUGAGUCAUGAUAUCCCAGCAGCCUCCUCUCCACUGUGUUGAUACCUGAUGUCUGUUGAGUCAUGAUAUCCCAGCAGUCUCCUCUCCACUGUGUUGAUACCUGAUGUCUGUUGAGUCAUAAUAUCCCAGCAGCCUCCUCUCCACUGUGUUGAUACCUGAUGUCUGUUGAGUCAUGAUAUCCCAGCAGUCUCCUCUCCACUGUGUUGAUACCUGAUGUCUGUUGAGUCAUGAUAUCCCAGCAGCCUCCUCUCCACUGUGUUGAUACCUGAAGUCUGUUGAGUCAUGAUAUCCCAGCAGUCUCCUCUCCACUGUGUUGAUACCUGAUGUCUGUUGAGUCAUGAUAUCCCAGCAGUCUCUCCUCCACCACUGACAGCUCCCAGAUCCAGUCACCUCUGAAAAGCUGUUAAAUAUUGAAGCACUGUGAUACUUUACCCUCUGCUGCUUUGUAGCUGGGGCUGCUUCCCAAACGGCACUCUAUUCCCUAUAUAGUGCACUACUGUUGACCACGGGCAAAUAGGGCUAGUUGUUGCGCUAUGUAGGGAAUAGAGUGUUGUUUGGGAAGCAGCCCUUGAGGUCACAUGAACAGAUGUAGUUUGUAAUUCAGCUCAUCUCAACAGUAAAUCCACAGCAGGCUCUUUGUGUUGCUAGGAUCAGUCAGGUAGGAGGAGAAAGACAGUGUCUGUUGGUUUGAGUUGGUAGAGUUAGUCAGGUAGGAUGAUAAAGACAGUGUCUGUAGGUAGAGUUAGUCAGGUAGGAUGAUAAAGACAGUGUCUGUAGGUAGAGUUAGUCAGGUAGGAGGAGGAAGACUGUGUCUGUAGGCAGAGUUAGUCAGGUAGGAUGAUAAAGACAGUGUCUGUAGGUAGAGUUAGUCAGGUAGGAGGAGGAAGACUGUGUCUGUAGGCAGAGUUAGUCAGGUAGGAUGAUAAAGACAGUGUCUGUAGAUAGAGUUAGUCAGGUAGGAGGAGGAAGACUGUGUCUGUAGGCAGAGUUAGUCAGGUAGGAGGAGAAAGACAGUGUCAGUAGGUAGAGUUAGUCAGGUAGGAUGAUAAAGACAGUGUCUGUUGGUAGAGUUAGUCAGGUAGGAUGAUAAAGACAGUGUCUGUAGGUAGAGUUAGUCAGGUAGGAUGAUAAAGACAGUGUCUGUUGGUAGAGUUAGUCAGGUAGGAUGAUAAAGACAGUGUCUGUAAGUAGAGUUAGUCAGGUAGGAUGAUAAAGACAGUGUCAGUAGGUAGAGUUAGUCAGGUAGGAGGAGGAAGACUGUGUCUGUAGGCAGAGUUAGUCAGGGAGGAUGAUAAAGACAGUGUCUGUAGGUAGAGUUAGUCAGGUAGGAUGAUAAAGACAGUGUCUGUUGGUUUGAGUUGGUAGAGUUAGUCAGGUAGGAUGAUAAAGACAGUGUCAGUAGGUAGAGUUAGUCAGGUAGGAUGAUAAAGACAGUGUCAGUAGGUAGAGUUAGUCAGGUAGGAUGAUAAAGACAGUGUCAGUAGGUAGAGUUAGUCAGGUAGGAUGAUAAAGACAGUGUCAGUAGGUAGAGUUAGUCAGGUAGGAGGAUAAAGACAGUGUCUGUUGGUUUGAGUUGGUAGAGUUAGUCAGGUAGGAUGAUAAAGACAGUGUCAGUAGGUAGAGUUAGUCAGGUAGGAUGAUAAAGACAGUGUCAGUAGGUAGAGUUAGUCAGGUAGGAUGAUAAAGACAGUGUCUGUAAGUAGAGUUAGUCAGGUAGGAUGAUAAAGACAGUGUCAGUAGGUAGAGUUAGUCAGGUAGGAGGAGGAAGACUGUGUCUGUAGGCAGAGUUAGUCAGGGAGGAUGAUAAAGACAGUGUCUGUAGGUAGAGUUAGUCAGGUAGGAUGAUAAAGACAGUGUCUGUUGGUUUGAGUUGGUAGAGUUAGUCAGGUAGGAUGAUAAAGACAGUGUCAGUAGGUAGAGUUAGUCAGGUAGGAUGAUAAAGACAGUGUCAGUAGGUAGAGUUAGUCAGGUAGGAUGAUAAAGACAGUGUCAGUAGGUAGAGUUAGUCAGGUAGGAGGAUAAAGACAGUGUCUGUUGGUUUGAGUUGGUAGAGUUAGUCAGGUAGGAUGAUAAAGACAGUGUCAGUAGGUAGAGUUAGUCAGGUAGGAUGAUAAAGACAGUGUCAGUAGGUAGAGUUAGUCAGGUAGGAUGAUAAAGACAGUGUCUGUAAGUAGAGUUAGUCAGGUAGGAUGAUAAAGACAGUGUCAGUAGGUAGAGUUAGUCAGGUAGGAUGAUAAAGACAGUGUCAGUAGGUAGAGUUAGUCAGGUAGGAUGAUAAAGACAGUGUCAGUAGGUAGAGUUAGUCAGGUA